rnacentral:rRNA from 1 species
UUUGGCGGUAGGCAGGCACGAUGGGUACGCCUGCCCAGUGAAUUAAAUUUUAACGGCCGCGGUAUCCUAACCGUGCAAAGGUAGCGCAAUCACUUGUUCUUUAAAUAAGGACUAGUAUGAACGGCACCAUGAGGAUCCACUUGUCUCUCAUAAUAAGCCUAUGAAACUGAUCUUCCAGUACAAAAGCUGGAAUAAACACACAAGACGAGAAGACCCUGUGGAGCUUCAAACCAAACUCACCAUACAUGAGCUGCGGUUUUUAGUUGGGGCGACUCUGGAGCAAAACAAAACCUCCAAACUUUACAUCCUUAGGCCAACAUGCCACCAUUAACCCCCCCCACGACCCAAUAUAAUUGAAUAAUGAACCAAGUUACCCCAGGGAUAACAGCGCCAUCUUCUUCUAGAGUCCCUAUCGCCAAGAAGGUUUACGACCUCGAUGUUGGAUCAGGGUACCCAAAUGGUGCAGCCGCUAUUAAAGGUUCGUUUGUUCAACGAUUAACAACCCUACGUGAUUGGUACAAACACCGGAUUUUAAAUUUUUCCUCCGACUUUUUUUGUUCUAUGGAGAAGCACCACCUACUAAACAUAACAGCUGUCGAUCCUCUCUUAAAUCGAGGGGACAGGAGGCGACACCGCGCCUAUCCAAAUAUUUGUCCUGAAUAUUUGGCACAAAAAAAAAAUUUAAAA